ensembl:lncRNA
ACAGUGACCAAGAUGUGGGAAUUAACCAGGGACCUUAAAGCACCUGCUAUAAUAAUGCUCACUGAGGUAAAUGCUAAAUGGAGAGGAUGCCAAAUGGAAAUCCAGAUCUUCAGGAGGCAAUACAGAAACUCUGAAAUGAAAUUUGCUUACACAUGUACAGGCCGAAGCUAAUCAGAUCAAAGGGUAUGCAUUCAUUGGAAAGGAAAGAAGACAUUAAAAAUAAGGCUGCCUUAGUGCUACACCAUAUUCAUAACAUAAAGAUGAAAAAAAAUGGCAAGGGCUAGGAAAAGCGCUAAUAAAAAUGUGGGCCAGCAACAUCAGCAUCACCUUGGAGCAUGGUAAACAUUCCAGGAUUGAGGCCCAGGAAUAUUUGCUUUAACAAGCUCUCCAGGAUUUAAAAUCAUUAUUGAUACUACAUGAACUUGUUCUUGGGGAAGUCAGAUGUCACAGAAGAGGUCCUGCUAUACCGAGACAACACAUUGGGGAGGGAUCCAGAGAGAGAGCCUCAGCUCAGUGCCCAGCCAACAUCCAGCCUCCAGUGCAACCACCCACGACUUGGAGCCACGAGAGUGGAUGAAAUAGUAAGACAGCAGUGGAAGAGGAAAAUACUGCCCGGAACCAAGCUCUGAGGAAGACAGACAAUCAAGGUAGAGGAACAAGAGGAGAAAUCUGAGAAAUGUCCCAGAGAACAGGAGCAAAAGCAGCCUAUCUGAAGUCUCCAGUGAUUACCGUACAGCCAAGAAAGAUUCUCUGUGUAUCAAGUCAGCAUUCCAGGCCUGCUAUACAACUGCUAUGACUGAACUCAUGAGUUGGUAACCACUGUUUCUUUGGACUCACUUCUCCUCCCUUACAAAUGUUACACCCACUCUGCUGGAGUAUAUCCUGAAGUAACUUCUUAAGACAGGAUGUAUGGAAAGUAAGACAUCUGAAUCUUAUAUGUUUCUACAGAUCUUCAUUUUAGCUCUUAUGCUUGCUUGGUAAUUGUUUGUUUGUUUGUUUAUCUUUUGUCUUUUUAGGGCUAAACCUGUGGCACAUGGAGGUUUCCAGGCUAGGGGUCGAUUCAGAGUCGUAGCCACUGGCUACACCACAGCAACGCCAGAUCUGAGCUGCGUCUGCAACCUACACCACAGCUCAUGGCAACACCAGAUUCUUAACCCACUGAACAAGGCCAGGGAUUGAUCCUGCAACUUCAUGGUUCCUAGUUGGAUUCAUUUCCGCUGCACUAAUGACAGGAACUCUGCUUGAUAAUUUUUUAAUGUUGAUCAUUUUAAUUUUUCCUGAAAAAAAGAUGGAAGGUGAUGGUUGCUUCAUCAUUUCCCAGCAUUUGGUAUUUCUAGGAGCUGACAGAUCUGACACUAGUCUGAUUCUCAUUCCAUGUGUGUCAACAUAGUCUUCUAUUUGGGAACUUUUAGAAACUUAUCCAACAGGAAAUUUCACAAAGUCUGAACAUGUGUCUUUUUUCUUUUUCUCUGAAGCAAACUCAGUGAACACUUUAAACUGAGGGAAAUUUCUAUGAGUAUUAAGGAAUUCAUUUGCCCAGUUUUUUCUUUAUUUUCUUUUGUUGAAGAUUUUCUUUCCUCUACCUUGCUCCUUUUACAUACUAUGCUGUUCUUGUUUGAAGGAUACUAUAUUUUUAAAAGUCUCAUUGAAAAUACUUCUUGUACUUUUUCUUUUACUGUUGUCUUGUGUCCUCAAGUCAUUUCUAUUUUCUCAUGCUUCAUGCUGGGGUGUAUGAUUCCUUCUUCAUCAAGAAAACAGUUUUCAUUUUGUAGACUUUUUCCCUCUAUCUAGUAAUCCUAGAUUUCCAUCUAAUAUUUAACAAUGAGACAACUGUCAGAAAGCCAACUCUGCUCUGAAAACAUGGGCAGGACUUGGCAAUUGGCAGUCUUUAGGAUGAGCCAGCUAGGAGCUGAUGGUGUUAAUUGCUCCAUGCAGAGUGCUUGUUGGGGAAAAGGAACUCUGAGCUAGCUUGCCUAGCUCUUUCUUCAAGUUUCUCCAAAAUGUGCAGCCUUUUUGUUUAGGGGGUGGGGGCAGAGAGGUGGAGGGCACUUCUACACAUAUUUUCUUACCUCUAACUCUGCAUUUCAAUAGUUUCUUAUAUUAUUACUAACAUCUGAUUUCAUAAUCUUCCCAGAGUUUGUGAGCAGAUCCGUGUUCAUCACCAGCUCUGGCUAUAAACUCCUUUACUCUACCUUUUCUGACAUCUCUCUUCUUCUACCUCACAAAUUUACUUUGAAGUCUUCCACUGGUCUCCUUGCAUUCCCUUUGAUAUAAUGGGCUUAUUUUAAUUUUUCUUCUUUUUUAAUCAUUUUAGAGCAGUAGAGGGGAAGGAAAUAAUGACAUGUAUUUAUUGUUUUGAUGCGUAAGCUCCCCAAAAGGUGUUACUAACCAUUAAGAGGAUUGUGAGAAGCCAUUUUUUUGAGUAAGACGGUGAUUACUUAUGUGUGAAAUGUUGCUUGAUUAAUCACCCCCAAGCAUCUAAGUAAGUGGGUUCUCAAUGAUGCUCUUCCUGCCUUGGGUUUUUUCCUUGCAGAGAAGAUGCAAUGGGAAAAGGAAGGAAAGUAUGUAGGUGUGUAUAAGUGCCCCCUUUGCUGUCCCAUGCAGAGACUAAUGGGCACAGGCAAUUGCAUAUUCAUGUGUGAUUUUCCAGUCCCAGAACUAAGUGCAGUGAAUUAGAGGCUAAGAAGCCCAAUCCAGUGCAAAUGGUGGCUCGUAAAAUAAGUCAUAUAUCAGGUACAGUUGCUUAAAAUAUUACUUAAAAUCUGAUUGCUUGCUUCAGUCUAGAUAAUAACAAUGAUACUAGCCACCAUUUACUAAGCACUGUCUGUGUGUGACACUGUUCUAAAUACUGUAGACAAAUCUCCCACAACAAUCUGAUAAGGGUAGGUACCAUAAUGAUCAUUAUUCCCAUUUUAUAGAAGAGAAAACCCAGGCACAAAGAAGAUAAGUUAACUGCUCAAGGGCAUACAGCUAGUAAGUUAUGGAACCAGGGUGGAAACUUAAGCAAUUAAGUUCCAGAGUGUGUUCUAAGAUCUAAGACUGUGUGUGUGUGUGUGUGUGUGUGUGUGUGUGUGUGUGUGUGUGUGUGUGUGUGACAAUAUCUCAAAACACUUUUAGCCAGUGAUACGCUGGUAAACUGUCUAUCCAGGAAGAAAACAAGCCCUAAUUGGUAAUGUUUGCUGACAUAGGUGGUAUUAAUACUCCUCCCAUGGCUGGUUUCAAGACAUUAACAGUUUAAUUGUUGGCUACCUAGUGAAAGGGUCUCCAACACUGCUUUAGCAUCAUUAGAACUCACGUGAGCUUAGAUUGUCUAAUAUUGCUUUUAUUCUGAACUCUUUGGUUUAAUUUUCAAUCAGCCUUUAUUAUAAUAAACAGAAUGAGAAAGUUAAGAUGAAUGAUAGUGGUUUUAUCUAGGAAUGGAAAGAAGUGUUUUGACAUUUAUGGUGCUUAAGGAUUUUGCACAAAUUAGAAAGAAAUCGAGAUAGAUUGCUAGCAAUUGGAAAGGGCUUUGUUUUUUCACAUCUACUCUCAUAUCUGACUUUCUCAUAAUAUUAUAUGUUACCAUCUGCAUUAUAGAAACCAAAUUUUAAUUAAAAAGAAUACAGGAGGAACCACAUCUAAUGCACAGCAUAGAAAGUUCACAAGUUUAGGAGUUCCCGUUGUGUCUCAGUGGAAACGAAUCCAACUAGUAUCCAUGAGGAUGCAGGUUCGUUCGAUUUCUGGCCUCACUCAGUGGGUCAGGGAUCCGGCAUUGCUGUGAGCUGUGAUGUAUGUCACAGACGGCAGCUCGGAUCUGGUGUUGCUGUGGCUGUGGUGUAGGCUGGCAGCUGUAGCUCUGAUUCAGCGCCUAGUCUGGGAACUUCCAUAUGCCAUGGGUGCGGCGCUAAAAAGACAAAAAAAAAAAAAAAAAAAAAAA